rnacentral:rRNA from 1 species
CCUACGGGGGGCAGCAGUGGGGAAUAUUGGACAAUGGGGGGAACCCUGAUCCAGCCAUGCCGCGUGUGUGAAGAAGGCCCUCGGGUUGUAAAGCACUUUCAGUGAAGAAGAACGCCUGGUGGUUAAUACCCAUCAGGAAAGACAUCACUCACAGAAGAAGCACCGGCUAACUCCGUGCCAGCAGCCGCGGUAAUACGGAGGGUGCGAGCGUUAAUCGGAAUUACUGGGCGUAAAGCGCGCGUAGGUGGCUUGAUAAGCCGGUUGUGAAAGCCCCGGGCUCAACCUGGGAACGGCAUCCGGAACUGUCAAGCUAGAGUGCAGGAGAGGAAGGUAGAAUUCCCGGUGUAGCGGUGAAAUGCGUAGAGAUCGGGAGGAAUACCAGUGGCGAAGGCGGCCUUCUGGACUGACACUGACACUGAGGUGCGAAAGCGUGGGUAGCAAACAGGAUUAGAUACCCUUGUAGUC